rnacentral:tRNA from 1 species
GUGUGGCUCAGUGGUAGAGCACUGAGUUUGUGUUAGGUCCUGGGUUCAAAUCCCAGCAC